rnacentral:rRNA from 1 species
GAUGAACGCUGGCGGCGUGCCUAAUACAUGCAAGUCGAGCGAAGGGACGAGAAGCUUGUUUCUCUGAUGUUAGCGGCGGACGGGUGAGUAACACGUGGAUAACCUACCUAUAAGCCUGGGAUAACUUCGGGAAACCGGAGCUAAUACCGGAUAAUAUUUUGAACCGCAUGGUUCAAAAGUGAAAGACGGUCUUGCUGUCCCUUAUAGAUGGAUCCGCUCUGCAUUAGCUAGUUGGUAAGGUAACGGCCUACCAAGGCAACGAUGCUUAGCCGACCUGAGAGGGGGGUCGCCCACAUUGGAACUGGACCCCGGCCAAGCCUCCUACGGGAGGAAGCAGUAGGGAAUCUUCCGCAAUGGGCGAAAGCCGAGCGGGGCAACGCCGCGUGAUGGAGGAAGGUCUUCGGUUCGUAAAACUCUGUUAUUAGGGAAGAACAUAUGUGGAAGUAACUGUGCACAUCGUGACGGUACCUAAUCAGAAAGCCACGGCUAACUACGCG